CAAGUCGAACGAUGAAGUUCCUUCGGGAAUGGAUUAGUGGCGAACGGGUGAGGAACACGUGAGAAACCUGCCUUUCAUUCUGGGAUAACACCGGGAAACCGGUGCUAAUACCGGAUACUCCAUCUUGGCGGCAUCGCCGAGCUGGGAAAAAAUUUUGAUGAAAGAUGGUCUCGCGGCCUAUCAGCUAGUUGGUGAGGUAAAGGCUCACCAAGGCGACGACGGGUAGCCGGCCUGAGAGGGCGACCGGCCACACUGGGACUGAGACACGGCCCAGACUCCUACGGGAGGCAGCAGUAGGGAAUAUUGGGCAAUGGGCGAAAGCCUGACCCAGCGACGCCGCGUGAGGGAUGAAGGUCUUCGGAUUGUAAACCUCUUUCAGUAGGGAAGAAGCGAAAGUGACGGUACCUAAAGAAGAAGCACCGGCUAACUAUGUGCCAGCAGCCGCGGUAAUACAUAGGGUGCAAGCGUUGUCCGGAAUUAUUGGGCGUAAAGAGCUCGUAGGUCGUUUGUCGCGUCGAUUGUGAAAAUCUGAGGCUCAACCUCAGACCUGCAGUCGAUACGGGCAAACUAGAGUGUGGUAGGGGAGACUGGAAUUCCUGGUGUAGCGGUGGAAUGCGCAGAUAUCAGGAGGAACACCAAUGGCGAAGGCAGGUCUCUGGGCCAUAACUGACACUGAGGAGCGAAAGUGCGGGGAGCGAACAGGAUUAGAUGCCCUGGUAGUCCGCACCGUAAACGGUGGGCACUAGUUGUGGGAACCUUCCACGGUUUCCGCGACGCAGCAAACGCAUUAAGUGCCCCGCCUGGGGAGUACGAUCGCAAGAUUAAAACUCAAAGGAAUUGACGG
rnacentral:rRNA from 1 species